GCUCCGUUCGUCUAGUGGCCUAGGACGCUGGCCUCUCACGCCGGAAACACGGGUUCGAAUCCCGUACGGAGUA
rnacentral:tRNA from 3 species